GCGUUGUCCGGAGUUACUGGGCGUAAAGGGCAUGCAGGCGGUCGGACGCGUUUCCAGUGACAGCGGGUGGCUUACCUACCCGAGUAUUGGAAAGACGGUUUGACUUGAGGACUCGAGAGGGACACGGAAUUCCGGGUGGAGUGGUGAAAUGCGUAGAGAUCCGGAGGAACAUCGAAGGCGAAGGCAGUGUCCUGGCGAGUAACUGACGCUGAGGUGCGAAAGCUAG
rnacentral:rRNA from 1 species